AGGACGAACGCUGGCGGCGUGCUUAACACAUGCAAGUCGAGCGGAAAGGCCACUUCGGUGGUACUCGAGCGGCGAACGGGUGAGUAACACGUGAGUAAUCUGCCCUCCACUUUGGGAUAGCCACCGGAAACGGUGAUUAAUACCGGAUAUGACCUCGGCCCGCAUGGGUUGUGGUGGAAAGUUUUUCGGUGGGGGAUGUGCUCGCGGCCUAUCAGCUUGAUGGUGGGUAAUGGCCUACCAUGGCUUCGACGGGUAGCCGGCCUGAGAGGGUGACCGGCCACACGUGGGACUGAGACACGGCCCAGGACUCCUAGGGAGCAGCGAGUGGGAAUAGUGGAACAAGUGGGCGGAAGCCUAGAUCCGAGCCAACGCCGACGUGAGGGAUGGACCGGUCCGUUCGGUAGUAAACCUCUUUCAGCACAGACGAAGACGAAAGUGACGGUA
rnacentral:rRNA from 1 species